GGUAGACAGACACACAGUACAACUUUGUUUUACCUUCCCUCCUCCUCAUGGGUUUUGAACAGUUUUUGCUUCUUUGGCACUCUGAAUUCUGAAACAGACGCGUACGGCCAAAACCAAAAUGCUCCCAUUAAUCACGCAUGAAGAAUCUCUCAACGAUUUCCUUGUCCCAUAAAACCCAAUAAACAAACAUAGAUAUAGAGCAACAAAUUAAAGUUGAGACAUCAAAGUUGGUACAGUUGCACUUGCACCCAAAGUCAAUGCACCGACUCUUCUCUUGUCCUGCCCUGUGGAUCUAAAGUCUCUCCAACCUCACUUCCAGGAGCUCUGAAGUCAGGAAGAUAUGCAUGUAUUCUUUUCUUUAGAUGCUAAAGCAGAAGACUUUGGGUUAGUCAAUGUU